rnacentral:rRNA from 1 species
UACGUAGGGUGCAGGCGUUAAUCGGAAUUACUGGGCGUAAAGCGUGCGCAGGCGGUCUGCUAAGAGAGGUGUGAAAUCCCCGGGCUUAACCUGGGAACUGCGCUUCUAACUGGCAGGCUAGAGUGUGGCAGAGGGGGGUGGAAUUCCACGUGUAGCAGUGAAAUGCGUAGAGACGUGGAGGAACACCGAUGGCGAAGGCAGCCCCCUGGGCUAACACUGACGCUCAUGCACGAAAGCGUGGGGAGCAAACAGG